UUAAAUGCUAUGAUGGAGAAAAGUACUUUGAUCUAUUUUAUCACAGAGAGGGAUAUUAUUAGCUGAGAGUAUCCUAUAAAAUGACAAAGGAAGUUCACUCCGGAGCUUUAAGGUCGAAAAAGUUAGAGUAGGCCUUAACGUUAUGAUGCGUUAAUUCAUUAGAGAGGUCUUUUAAAGACUAUUAGGGUGGUACCGCGGAGCUUAACUUUCGUCCCUACA
rnacentral:ncRNA from 1 species